UUCUUCUUCUUCUCGAUAGGAUCAAAAGGGGCAAGCAUAGCAUGGCUCUUGAACCUUAAAUUAGCCUAGAGCGAUUUCACAAACAAGGCAUUGAAAUGGCCACUUGCGGAUCAAACGCCCAGUGCUCUUGGCGCACCUUAGGAUUUCAUGGAAAGCAACAGUUCCAGGGUGAUAAUGGCGAGGGAGAGGCUUCCUUGACUCCAUCCGUAGUUUGGGCAUAUUUCCUUGCAGCCUUGGCAGAAUCAGAGAAACAAGGAUAAGCAAGAUCAUUGUUUUCAAGGGCAAGCUUGGCUGCUCCUAUGUUCCUCUUUUUGGGGAUGCCAUGCCUGGUUCUCUCAAUGGAAGCACCAAGGAUGGAAACUCAAAAAACAAAGAUACAUUCAAAGUAUUGGGAUCUUCCGAACCCAUCUGCUAGAAUUGAUAUGAUGGGAAUGUGGAGGUGGAAUCCAUGUUGUAUGGGAUCAAAGCUACUAGACACACAGCGAGAAGUCGUUCUGUUUGGUGAUUUCAAAUCAUUUGGAAAAACUAUUAGGCUGACAAGGUAUUUUCUUCCAUGACUUGACACAGGAUGGGGGCCACACGCCUAUAAAUCAAUGUUAUUCUCCUCACCAUUUCUCAAUCUCAUUGAAGGAAAACCACUCUCCAUUGUGUAUAAAUUUUUGAAGUGCCGAUCUAGUGCCUCCAAGGCUUUCAGUGAAGUUCAAACCUUGUGUGUUGUUGAGACUCUGCUUAUUAUGUUGUCCCAUGGUGAUAGCCAUUCCUCUUUUUGUCGUCUUUGUGUUGAGGCAGCUAUGAAAAAGCUAGCUGACCCUGGGAACACAGAUUUUGACAAGCACUUGGCUGAACACAAGGCCACUCUGGAUAAGCUUAACAAACAGUAUAUUGAUAUCCUCAAAGAAUUGGAUGCCCAAAAGCGGCGAGGGAAGGAACUUGAGGAGCUGGAGAAGGUGGCCCGUAGCAAGUCUAAGUUUGGUGCGCCAAUUAAUGAACUCAACUUGCACGAGUUGGAAAUGCUACGGAAGUCCUUGGAAGAAGUUAAGGAAAACAUAUUGAAGCAAAUUGAGAAGAUUUCUGCGGACAAUGAAAAUCCAACCUCAUCCUCCUCUGCAAAUAUCGCUGGAGUCAUCAAUCCUUCUGUGAGUAGCUCUGCCAGGCGUUCUUUCUCUGCUGAUGUCAAUGACCAUGAUGAUGGCCAUGGACACUAACUGUCUUAAAUCUGAGACUAGGAAAUAAAAUGGAUUUGCUAUCAUCCUGUUUCUCUUUUGAGUUUCAUAUGUAUGUUAGUAGUCGCACUCUUUUCAGUGGACAGCAGUGUGUGAAUGUCAUAGACAUCAAAUGUCUGCAGAUGUGCACUUUGAAUAAAUAUUAGAUGAACUGGUCGCUCGUAGUCUUAUUUCUUUUUGAUAUGAUGCUGGAUUACUUGUCAUAAAUGAACUCAUCCUAUAGUGUUUGCUUUGAUUGAAGAAUAAAUGUUCAGAUUGUUUUGGGAGAAUGUUUGUGGAUGAGGGGAGCUAAUAAUCAUUGAUUGAGGCACAGUCUGUUGUCCUUUUGGUAGUGAGCAGAUGUGAGAAAUUUAAUGCUUGUCAUAUCUGAUAUGAGUGCAAAUUAGGCACCACUGCUUGUGCUUUAUAGCUCUAUCAAUUCAACUGACUCUGUUGCUAUGAUCACACAAAUUGGUAAUAGAGAGGUCAAUUUGGUUUAUGAAAUGGAGAAUGGUGAACACUUUGCACUGGAGUAUUUCAAAUACAAACUGAUAGUGUGGUGAUUUAAUUGGAUUUUAUUUGGGUAUACAUGCACGAUCCCAGUUUCUAAUUCAGAGCUUUUUAGCAUUAGUCAUAUGAGAGAGGGAGAGUCAACUAUUUAGCAAUUCUUAGAUUUUAUCUUAUCGGUGAAUGUCUGCAGUUAUGCUAGCAUCUUUUAUUGCAGAUGCAUAGGGUGUUAAUAUAUAUUCUAUUCCUUAAUUUGCUUGCAUUCUCAGAAGGUUCUCUGUUGCAAAUGAUUCUUACUGAGAAAACCAAUUUACAAGAUGAAAUAUAAGUUGAUGUUGAUUUAUUUGCCAGCAUUUCAUGCAUGCAUUGUGACUGUUUGUAUACUUUCAUACUUUCUUUUCUGCUCAUAAUUCUAUUACGUUAAAGAUUUUUAUAUGUUGCUUUUUCUUCCAUUGAGAAAAAACCACACUGAAUAACCUUCAGGUUUAGAAAUCUUAACCAACUUUAUUUAAGCCACUCAACAGACUUAAUUUUGUCUGAAUAAAUUACUCUUCUUAUGAUAAAUCACUGUAUGAACUAAAUUUCUCUUUCAUGAUGAUAUCUCUAGUUUCUAGCGCAUACAUGUGCAUCUGAUUGACGCUCCUUAGAGAAGUUGCUUUCUCUGGUCCACCACCCCUCGAGGAGACUUGUUGGCAUUUUUGGUUAUCUGUAGCUAGUGGAGAAGUUUUAUUUUCAAUUAUAAACCAGAAUGCCACGCUUCCUUCAAUGGUUACCAUCGCUGGUUAUCUGCAGUUUUAUGCGUUAUUUCCCCACACUAACUGCUUGCUUUUCCCAUUUAAAAAGCUCUAGUCUGUUCUGCUAUAAUUAAUUUCUUUCCUCCAUUUGGUUGUGGUGUUGAUUGAUUUUUUCUGUAUUUCAUGCACUUAAGGCUUGCUAUGUUUCAUUUUAUACGAUUUCUCAAUUCUAUAAAUCUAUGCUAGAGUGAUGACAAAUCUCAUACUUAUCUGAAAGGAUAGAAAUUUAUUUCAGAAAUUAAGUUUAUAAAGAAGGCGAGUAUAAUUUAGUUUCAGUUCUAAUUGAGAGCAUAGAGGUGAUAGAGUAGACCGAAGGCAUAAUCAAAUUAAUUGAAUCAAGCUCUUAUGUACAUACAUAAUAAAGUACGGGUACUUUUUAACUUUCAAUUAUGUUUUUUCCCUGCAUGGUAUCCCUUGUAACAAAAGUGGAUGGCAAAUAUUGUUGCUUUGGCUUUCUAUUUUUCUGUGCCCAGCCUAUAUGCAAGAUAUAACUGUAAAUACAUUUAGAAGACAGAACACAAAGAUUGAGGAACAGCACAGAAUACUAUUCACACUGCAUGAUCAUGGAUCCAAAAAAGGUAAGCAUGAAAGAAGAUGAUUCAUCAAGGUAAGUCGUCGAUAUUUUUUUUUUCACUGAAGAAAUUAAUGGUGAAAGUUUAUUUGGUGUUUUCAGUUUAUUUUAGAUUUCCUUAUGGAGCUUGUCAGUUUUAACUAUGGUGCUUUGUUGCACUACACCUAAGCUCAUUGUUCUUUCGCAUGCCUUCUGUUACCUAACUCAGCUUUUAUUCAGUUCUAUGCAUUUUUGUUGAUGUUUUUCUUUCUGAAUUGAGGGGCAGGGCAAGUGUUGAGAAAUGUAGCCUGUAGAUUGCAAGCAAUGACUAUUACAAACCAGCACCAUUUUUGUAGCUACGCCAAAAAAAGGGAGCUUAUUAUUAUUUUUCUUUCAUAAUCAUGCAGCCAUCUUUCUUAUCACUUUUACUUUACCUCUUAUGCAGGAAACAUAGAAAACUGCUUAAUGUAUUUAGCUUGAGAUCUAGUUUCAUAGUAUUCCUCAUCUAGUGUGCCUGUGUUGGUGUAACUGAGCAAUGAAUACUGCUUGUGAUUUUCCAUGAGAAUUGAGAAAGGUGUGCUAUUUCAAGAUACUGUGAAAGCGUGUCGGUGCUAAUUAAGCUGUUUUAUAAUCAUCUCAAGUUCUUUGUCACUUGCAUAUAUGAUGACAUGAGUCCAAUGGGGUAACAAUAGUGGCUUUUUGGAUUCAAAAUGGAUGUAGCAACAUGUAGUGGAGAAACCUGACAAUGACAUGAAUUAUACCAAAAUGUCUCUCUUUCACUGUUUUCUAUUACCUUGUGUCCAUGUUGUCAUGGCUCCAAACUAGCAGAUCUCUAAUCUUUUUCAAUGUUUAAUGUAGAAGAUGACAGGAUGUGUAUGGCAACAGGAAAAUCUCACAUAGGAAAGCCAUAAGCUGGAAGGCAAGGCAAGGCAAGCAUGUAGAAGAUGAAUGGAUGUGGGACUUACACGCACGGGGUCAAUGGGUGAUCAGAAGGCUCGUGGCCUAGGUUAGUGACCUCCAGUGCACUCAGGAGGGGUGCUGGUCUGAGCUCUCCCCAAGUGGGGGAGCCUACGUCAAGAUUUAGCUGAACCAGUCACUGCCCCUGCCCAGUUCUAGUUUAGAAAAUUUGAGUUAAUACGAAGAGCCAAUAUGCAAACUUGAUAAUCUAGAUGCAUAGCAUCGAUGUAUCAGAUUGAUAAUGUUAAGAACUUUAUGAAAACA